AUUGAACGCUGGCGGCAGGCCUAACACAUGCAAGUCGAACGAGUGGCGGACGGGUGCGUAAUGUCUGGGAAACUGCCUGAUGGCGGGGGAUAACUACUGGAAACGGUAGCUAAUACCGCAUCCCAUCAGAUGUGCCCAGAUGGGAUUAGCUUGUUGGGUGGGUAGCGGCUAACGAAGGCGACGAUCCCUAGCUGGUCUGAGAGGAUGACCUGCCACAUCGGAACGUGGACACGGUCCAUACGCCUACGGGAGGCAGCAGUGGGGAAUAUUGCACAACGGGCGCAAGCCUGAUGCAGCCAUGCCGCGUGUAUGAAGAAGGCCUUCGGGUUGUAAAGUACUUUCAGCGGGGAGGCGUUACCCGCAGAAGAAGCACCGGCUAACUCCGUGCCAGCAGCCGCGGUAAUUC
rnacentral:rRNA from 1 species